rnacentral:rRNA from 1 species
GGACCCGCACAAGUAGUGGAGCAUGUGGUUUAAUUCGAAGAUACGCGCAGAACCUUACCAACACUUGACAUGUUCGUCGCGACUCUAAGAGAUUAGAGUUUUCGGUUCGGCCGGACGAAACACAGGUGCUGCAUGGCUGUCGUCAGCUCGUGUCGUGAGAUGUUGGGUUAAGUCCCGCAACGAGCGCAACCCUCACUUUUAGUUGCCAUCAUUAAGUUGGGCACUCUGAAAGAACUGCCAGUGAUAAGCUGGAGGAAGGUGGGGAUGACGUCAAGUCCUCAUGGCCCUUACGGGUUGGGCUACACACGUGCUACAAUGGUAGUGACAAUGGGUUAAUCCCCAAAAACUAUCUCAGUUCGGAUUGUCGUCUGCAACUCGACGGCAUG